GGAUUUUCUAACCGUAAAAAAAGGUAGCUAAAUGACAUGAAAAAAAAGGUUUCCUAAUCAACUUGAAAAAUAAAUGGAGCCUAACGAGAUUGAGCAGGUUCAGGAGUCAAAACACACACAGAGACAGAGCCAGUGGCUGGGUCUUCUGAAGACCAUGAGGAAGGAAAUCCCUGGUCGCAUCUCAAAGAACACUUCAGCUUCAAUGCCAGCAGAGAAGAGGGGACUGUAUGAUUAUGGAACGUAAACUCUGCUUACCAAAGAUGGUGGAGGUGGCUGCCUACAAAAACUCUGCGUCAAACUUGAGGAAACAUGUAAUGAGGAAACAUCCAUUCAAGAUUACAAACUACAAUAUGCUAACCUCUACAACCACAAACAAACAAACAAACCAAGGAACCACAACAGACAGUGGAUAAAACUUCAUCAAAGCAUUCAAUGUUUUUGGUGAGCAGAGCCAGGCAGUCGAAUCAGCAGACCGAGACCCAGAUGCUGAAGAGCCAGCAGAGCAGGUUGAAUACCAAGACACCUAUUCCAUCCUGGAAAAUUACAAUAUCAACUCCCUCAGCAUCAACGGUGUGCAUGUCACCUGCUGAACCUCAUUGCAACAACAGAUUCUGCAUUGGCAGAGACAAAUAGUCAUAGCUACAAAAUGUUGUCCAGGUCGUCUUUUGCCAAAUGCCAAGCCAUGUGGAAUAAAACGACCGGUCAACCUUAGCUGCUGAAGUUGUAGAGAAUGAGUGCAAACUGCAGUUGAUCCAUCCAAAUCAAACACGUUGGAACUCAAUUUACCUGGCUGUGGAGAGGAUCACACGUAUCAUACAAGAGAAGGGGGAGGAUGCCAUAAGAAAUGUGUGUGAAGAAUUAAAAGUGAAAAUGCUGAGCCCGGCAGAAAUGUCCUUCUUGAAUGAGUACUGCAAAGUGAUGAAGCCUUUGGUCUCAGCUUUGAACAUUCUACCGUCUGAGACCAACACAGAUAUGGGGUGGCUGCUGCCAGUGAUCUUACUAAAAACUAAACCUCAAAGGCUGGAAGCAACUUGCCAAAUGUGCCUACCACUUAUAAGAGCCAUUCAGAACGGUCUCCAAAAGCGCUUUGGAGAAAUGAUGGAGGAGCCACAUCUUAUUGCUGUUGCAAUCCUU